AAGGUGUCGAUAGCGUUCCACAGGGAUGCUGGCCCAUGUUGACUCUACAAGGUGUUGAAAGUGUUCCACAGGGAUGCUGGCCCAUGUUGACUCUACAAGGUGUUGAAAGUGUUCCACAGGGAUGCUGGCCCAUGUUGACUCUACAAGGUGUUGAAAGUGUUCCACAGGGAUGCUGGACCCAUGUUGACUCUACAAGGUGUCGAUAGCGUUCCACAGGGAUGCUGGACCCAUGUUGACUCUACAAGGUGUCGAUAGUGUUCCACAGGGAUGCUGGACCCAUGUUGACUCUACAAGGUGUUGAAAGUGUUCCACAGGGAUGCUGGACCCAUGUUGACUCUACAAGGUGUCGAUAGCGUUCCACAGGGAUGCUGGACCCAUGUUGACUCUACAAGGUGUUGAAAGUGUUCCACAGGGAUGCUGGACCCAUGUUGACUCUACAAGGUGUCGAUAGCGUUCCACAGGGAUGCUGGACCCAUGUUGACUCUACAAGGUGUCGAUAGUGUUCCACAGGGAUGCUGGACCCAUGUUGACUCUACAAGGUGUUGAAAGUGUUCCACAGGGAUGCUGGACCCAUGUUGACUCUACAAGGUGUUGAAAGUGUUCCACAGGGAUGCUGGACCCAUGUUGACUCUACAAGGUGUUGAAAGUGUUCCACAGGGAUGCUGGACCCAUGUUGACUCUACAAG